GAACACGCAUGGAUACGCCGGCUUUCCCCCCCUCCUGUGUAAGCUCCAACACCCGCUCUCAGCCGCCGCCGCUCGGCGUCACCACCACCGUGCGGCUUCCUUCGCUCCGCCGUAAGCCGGGAGCUUCCUCCCCCAGGGCUGCAGAACGCCAGCGUGGUUAUCCCGCCAGCGACCCCGUCCGCCGUCUUCUUCACAGAAAUUAACAAAAAAAAGAGAAGUCCAGAGGCGUGCGCCCUCACAUUUUUGGAAGAGCAGAACGAAUUCAAGAGGACGAAAGAAAAGAUGUCAGAGAUUAGAGAUCACGGGUGGCAAGGCCCUUUCUCCUCCGCCUUCCAACUCCAUUAAAUCGACGGCGAAGCCUCUCCCAACUCCAUUGCAGACCGGAAGCUCAGCUCGGAUAGAGAACGCAGGCAGGGUUCGGUGGGGAAAGCCCGAUAAUCCGGUUGGAGGAGGAUAAGGGGAGGCGCACAGUGGGCAAGGGGCUGGCCGAGUACGGGCAAACCGUGAAGAAGCAAUCGGAACGAACGACACGACACACGCAAACGACACGUGUGGGAGGGUGACCCUGUCAGGUGUGGAGAGAACAGGAGCAUUUAGUAGGCGGGCCAGUCGCGGUGGCAGGCUGGAAGCGUCC
rnacentral:lncRNA from 1 species